CCUACGGGAGGCAGCAGUGGGGAAUAUUGGACAAUGGGCGCAAGCCUGAUCCAGCAAUGCCGCGUGAGUGAUGAAGGCCUUAGGGUUGUAAAGCUCUUUUACCAGGGAUGAUAAUGACAGUACCUGGAGAAUAAGCUCCGGCUAACUCCGUGCCAGCAGCCGCGGUAAUACGGAGGGAGCUAGCGUUGUUCGGAAUUACUGGGCGUAAAGCGUACGUAGGCGGUUAUUCAAGUCAGAGGUGAAAGCCCGGGGCUCAACCCCGGAACUGCCUUUGAAACUAGGUAGCUAGAAUCUUGGAGAGGUCAGUGGAAUUCCGAGUGUAGAGGUGAAAUUCGUAGAUAUUCGGAAGAACACCAGUGGCGAAGGCGACUGACUGGACAAGUAUUGACGCUGAGGUACGAAAGCGUGGGGAGCAAACAGGAUUAGAUACCCUGGUAGUCCACGCCGUAAACGAUGAUAACUAGCUGUCCGGUCACUUGGUGACUGGGUGGCGCAGCUAACGCAUUAAGUUAUCCGCCUGGGGAGUACGGUCGCAAGAUUAAAACUCAAAGAUAGUAGG
rnacentral:rRNA from 1 species